UAGGGAAUAUUGGGCAAUGGACGAGAGUCUGACCCAGCCAUGCCGCGUGCAGGAAGACGGCGUUCUGCGUUGUAAACUGCUUUUAUCUGGGAAGAAAAAGCCCCUGCGGGGGAAAUUGCCGGUACCAGAUGAAUAAGCACCGGCUAACUCCGUGCCAGCAGCCGCGGUAAUACGGAGGGUGCAAGCGUUGUCCGGAUUUAUUGGGUUUAAAGGGUGCGUAGGCGGCUAUUUAAGUCAGUGGUGAAAGACUCCGGCUCAACCGGAGCAGUGCCAUUGAUACUGGAUAGCUUGAGUAUUGGAGGGGUACAUGGAAUUGAUGGUGUAGCGGUGAAAUGCAUAGAUACCAUCAGGAACACCGAUAGCGAAGGCAUUGUACUGGCCAAUAACUGACGCUGAUGCACGAAAGCAUGGGUAGCGAACAGG
rnacentral:rRNA from 1 species